rnacentral:sRNA from 1 species
GCGGCCGCCAACGCCGCCCGGACUGGAGCCCUGACAUUGCUGCGCUCGGGGGACUCCAGGCAGCCCGUAUCGGGGCCUUUAUUUCUCGUCGGCGGCGCCCUGCACCGCGCCUCGCAAAGCUGAACACCAGAGCACCCUAGAAGGUUUAACUAAAAGAAUGCUCAUGUUUGACCCAGUUCCUGUCAAGCAAGAGGCCAUGGACCCUGUCUCAGUGGUAAGUUUUCCAAGAUUGAACACCUCGCCUUAUUUUUUCCAAGUGAUGAUAACAUUAUUGUGUGUUGAAUUAUUCCUUGAAAUCAUGGCCGGGCGUGGUGGCUCACGCCUGUAAUCCCAGCACUUUGGGAGACCGAGGCGGGAGGAUCACCUGAGGUCGGGAGUUUGAGACCAGCCUGACCAACAUGAAGAAACCCCGUCUCUACUAAAAAUACCAAAUUAGCCGGGCGUGGUGGCGCAUGCCUGUAAUCCCAGCUACUCGGGAGGCUGAGGCAGGAGAGUCGCUUGAACCCGGGAGGCGGAG